rnacentral:lncRNA from 1 species
UUUCCAACUCUCUAUUACCUCGUUUCACAACCCAUUAUUAAAGACAGUCCUCUCUCCUCUUUGUGUCAUUGUUGAUCUACCAUCUCAGUGUCGAUUUGUAGAAAUGGGAUUGUGAUCUACCCUCAAUUUCUUAAUUCCACAAAAAAAAUUACAAAAGAGGGCAAAGCCCUAGCUAAUUCUUCACUCGCAAUUGGUAGUUAAGAUUCUGAAUGAAAAUUUUGUAAUCUUCCUUCUUUCUUUCUUUUUUUCUUUAUUUCUUUUUUUCUUUAUCUUUCUCUCUUGUUCUGAAUGCAAAUUUUGUAUUAGAAAUUUGGGCUAGGCUUUGGUGUCAUAGAAGGUGGAGGAAUAAAAAUAAGGUUGCAGCAGCAGCGGCGACAACAAUGGGGAAGGCAAUGAAGUUCCCAGGAAUUAGUGAGGGCGUUCAAAAGCUGUUAGAUGUUGACAUGGACCAAGUGGUUGCAAGGCGCUGUGCUUGCGAGGUGUUUAAGGAUAUUCAACUCUCUAUUGAUCAUUGUUUUUUCAG